GUUAAAUUUUUACAGAAGAGAGAUUAUAAUGUUUUGCCUAACCACUGACAGAUACCUGAAAAUCUAUACAUUUUUCUUUAAUUUUACUAGACUUAAUUUUUUUCUCUGUAAUUCUUUGUCUUGUUACAGAGGAUCUUGAUGAUUUAAGAAUGGAGGGAGUAACAACCCUAGUACCUUCUGGGAGCAAAUUCAACCAAGGCCGUUCUGCUCAUCCUGCUGAGCCUCAGGCCAAGGUCACACUGAAUAUCUGUUCAAGGUGUGCCAGGCUUCAAGGAGACAACCUGGCAGAAAGGACAGAAGAGACAUUACAAAUACUUCAUUCUCCAGAUGAAAUAAUUCCAGAUUCAUUGGAUUCUUUACCUGGGACUGAAGAAGAACUGAUGGAAGAGGUUGAGGAUUUUGAGAAAGCAUCUAAAUUAACAGCACCUGGAGAAGUCUCCAGUGGAGGAUCAUCACUGAAAAACUAUACUGAAGAAGAUGAAUCCUUAAAGCAACUCCAGGUUGUGCAUCAGCCAUGGCUCUUGCCCAGUGACACAGAAAGCGAAGGAGUGGAAGCAGAACAAGAUAAACGUCUGUGAAAUAGAAAGAAGAUGUUGAAAGUGGUCCUUAAAGAAACUGCAAUUAAUCGAAUACUUAUGUAUAGUCCUAAUUUUAUUUGCUCUAUGUAAUUAUUUAGAGAAUGGUUAUUUUUAUAUCAGUAAUAAAAGUAUCAUUGUAACCAGGGGGUGGGCACAUGUGUAAUCAGAACACUAACUCUGGCAAAGGACUCUGGGGCGGUCAGGAUUCUUGUUGCCUUUUGACAUGGUUAAUAUCCUGGGUAUGGAUUACUUUAUACAUAGUUAUUAAUAUCAAUAUUUGAUAUAUUAAAAUAUUGCCUGAUCCAAAUAACUUUGCUUCAAUUUUUUCUGUAUUUUCACUUGUCUAAGGUUUUCUACCUCUUUUAUUUUUAUAAUAUUUUCUCAUUUUUUAGGCCAAUAGACAUUACACUUAGAAAGAUGUUCCAAGGUGUGCCAUUUAGGACUCUUCAGAAACUAGCUGUUUGGUAUCAUCACCUACCAUGUGAGUUGUUUGCUGCAGUAAGAGGCACAUUCCCCAUGACUACCCUUCCAAGGUUAUUUUCCCAAUUCUUAUCAAGACAAAUAAUUGAUAUGUUAAGUAAAAAAAUCAGAUCAAUAAAGAAUGAAAUGCAUGCCCCUUUUCAUCACAUGAGAUGAAAAUAGACUAUUUAUGCAAUUAUUAAAACCAAUUAAGAAUAUUCAUUUUAAAUUUGAUGUAUGUUUGCUUUUGGAAUGUGCUAUGCAUUGAUGCUAAGUGAAUUAAUCCCAGUAAAUCUAUCAAGUAUAUUUGCUGUCUGUUUUAACUUACUUGUCUUAAUUUAAGAUUGUUUUCUGGACCCAUAAGUCAUUAACAU
rnacentral:lncRNA from 1 species